rnacentral:rRNA from 1 species
AACGCUGGCGGCAGGCUUAACACAUGCAAGUCGAGCGGGCGUAGCAAUACGUCAGCGGCAGACGGGUGAGUAACGCGUGGGAACGUACCUUUUGGUUCGGAACAACACAGGGAAACUUGUGCUAAUACCGGAUAAGCCCUUACGGGGAAAGAUUUAUCGCCGAAAGAUCGGCCCGCGUCUGAUUAGCUAGUUGGUGAGGUAACGGCUCACCAAGGCGACGAUCAGUAGCUGGUCUGAGAGGAUGAUCAGCCACAUUGGGACUGAGACACGGCCCAAACUCCUACGGGAGGCAGCAGUGGGGAAUAUUGGACAAUGGGCGCAAGCCUGAUCCAGCCAUGCCGCGUGAGUGAUGAAGGCCCUAGGGUUGUAAAGCUCUUUUGUGCGGGAAGAUAAUGACGGUACCGCAAGAAUAAGCCCCGGCUAACUUCGUGCCAGCAGCCGCGGUAAUACGAAGGGGGCUAGCGUUGCUCGGAAUCACUGGGCGUAAAGGGUGCGUAGGCGGGUCUUUAAGUCAGGGGUGAAAUCCUGGAGCUCAACUCCAGAACUGCCUUUGAUACUGAAGAUCUUGAGUUCGGGAGAGGUGAGUGGAACUGCGAGUGNAGAGGUGAAAUUCGUAGAUAUUCGCAAGAACACCAGUGGCGAA